rnacentral:rRNA from 1 species
UCAGUCGUAAACUUUAAAUUACCCCCAACUCGCCUGGGAACUACGAGCCAAGCUUAAAACCCAAAGGACUUGACGGUACCCCAUAUCCCCCUAGAGGAGCCUGUCCUAUAAUCGAUAACCCCCGUUUAACCUCACCAUUUCUAGCAACUCAGCCUGUAUACCUCCGUCGUCAGCUUACCACGUGAGCGCUAGUGAGCUCAAUGUUUUUUCAACUAAACGUCAGGUCAAGGUGCAACACAUGAGAUGGGAAGAGAUGGGCUACACUUUCUAGCAUAGACCACACGAAAGACUAACUAUGAAAUCUAGUCAGAAGGCGGAUUUAGAAGUAAAAAGUAACCAGAGAGUCCUUUUUAACCCGGCAC